rnacentral:tRNA from 1 species
GGAGGGGUGGCCGAGUGGUUAAUGGCAGCAGACUGUAAAUCUGCCCUCGUAAGAGUACGCUGGUUCAAAUCCAGCCCCCUCCACCA